GAUGAACGCUGGCGGCGUGCCUAAUACAUGCAAGUCGAGCGAACGGACGAGAAGCUUGCUUCUCUGAUGUUAGCGGCGGACGGGUGAGUAACACGUGGAUAACCUACCUAUAAGACUGGGAUAACUUCGGGAAACCGGAGCUAAUACCGGAUGAUAUUUUGAACCGCAUGGUUCAAAAGUGAAAGACGGUCUUGCUGUCACUUAUAGAUGGAUCCGCGCUGCAUUAGCUAGUUGGUAAGGUAACGGCUUACCAAGGCAACGAUGCAUAGCCGACCUGAGAGGGGGAUCGGCCCAACUGGGACAGAGACACGGGCCAGAAUCCCAAGGGGGGCAAGCGGAGGGAAACUUCCGGAAAGGGGGAAAGCCGGACGGGGGAAAGCCGCGUGGGGUAUUAAGGUUUUUGGAUUCUUAAACUCUUUUAUUAGGGAAAAACAUAUUUGGAAAGUAACGGGCAACUUUUGGCGGGACCCAAUCCAAAAAGCCCGGGUUACCUAGGG
rnacentral:rRNA from 1 species